rnacentral:rRNA from 1 species
UUAGAGUUGAUCCUGGCUCAGGAUGAACGCUAGCGGCGCGCUUAAUGCAUGCAAGUCGAGCGAUGAGGUCUCCUUCGGGGGACACAUCAGCGGCAGACGGGUGAGUAACACGUAGGUAACCUACCCCAGAGACAGGGAUAACCCUAGGAAACGAGGGCUAAUACCGGAUGACCUCCGGAAGGAGGAAAGGCUCAGGCGCUCUGGGAGGGGCUUGCGGCCCAUCAGCUAGUUGGUAGGGUAAAGGCCUACCAAGGCGAAGACGGGUAGGGGGUGUGAGAGCACGGNCCCCCACAAUGGGACUGAAACACGGCCCAUACUCCUACGGGAGGCAGCAGCAGGGAAUAUUGCACAAUAGGCGAAAGCCUGAUGCAGCGACGCCGCGUGAGUGAAGAAGGCCUUCGGGUCGUAAAGCUCUUUUGUAGGGGAAGAGGAAGGACGGUACCCUAAGAAGAAGCGUCGGCUAACUACGUGCCAGCAGCCGCGGUAAGACGUAGGACGCGAGCGUUAUCCGGAAUUACUGGGCGUAAAGGGCCAGCAGGCGGCUUGGUAAGUUGUGCGUGAAAGCCUCGUGCUCAACGCGAGGAAGCCGGACAAUACUGUCAAGCUAGAGGGCAUCAGAGGGGAGUGGAAUUCCCGGAGUAGCGGUAAAAUGCGCAGAUAUCGGGAGGAACACCGAUGGCGAAGGCAGCUCCCUGGGAUGCACCUGACGCUAAGAGGCGAAAGCUAGGGGAGCGAACAGGAUUAGAGACCCUGGUAGUCCUAGCUGUAAACGCUGGGUGCUAGGUGUGGGACGUAGAAGUUCCGUGCCGGAGCAAACGCGAUAAGCACCCCGCCUGGGAAUUACGGUCGCAAGGCUAAAACUCAAACGAAUUGACGGGGCCCCGCACAAGCAGCGGAGCGUGUGGUUCAAUUCGAUGCUAC